ACUACUGGAAACGGUAGCUAAUACCGCAUAAUGUCGCAAGACCAAAGAGGGGGACCUUCGGGCCUCUUGCCAUCGGAUGUGCCCAGAUGGGAUUAGCUUGUUGGUGGGGUAACGGCUCACCAAGGCGGACGAUCCCUGGCUGGUCUGAGAGGAUGACCAGCCACACUGGAACUGAGACACGGUCCAGACUCCUACGGGAGGCAGCAUG
rnacentral:rRNA from 1 species